rnacentral:rRNA from 1 species
GACGAACGCUGGCGGCGUGCUUAACACAUGCAAGUCGAACGGAAAGGCCCUGCUUUUGUGGGGUGCUCGAGUGGCGAACGGGUGAGUCACCCGUGAGUAACCUGCCCUUGACUUUGGGAUAACUUCAGGAAACUGGGGCUAAUAACGGAUCGGAGCUCCUGCUGCAUGGUGGGGGUUGGAAAGUUUCGGCGGUUGGGGAUGGACUGGCGGCUUAUCAGCUUGUUGGUGGGGUAGUGGCUUACCAAGGCUUUGACGGGUAGCCGGCCUGAGAGGGUGACCGGCCACAUUGGGACUGAGAUACGGCCCAGACUCCUACGGGAGGCAGCAGUGGGGAAUAUUGCACAAUGGGCGGAAGCCUGAUGCAGCAACGCCGCGUGCGGGAUGACGGCCUUCGGGUUGUAAACCGCUUUCGCCUGUGACGAAGCGUGAGUGACGGUAAUGGGUAAAGAAGCACCGGCUAACUACGUG